GUCUCCAAAACCCUAAUAUGCUUAUAAAACAAAAAUCAUUUUUUAUUCUCCAUUUUCCAGCCUCAGCCGCCGUUCGCUCUGUGAACUUUCUUCUUCAUCGCUCUCUCUCCGCCAUUCAACCACUUUCCUCCGUUCGACUGCUCUGCUUCAGCCGUUUGACCGCUCUGCUUCAGCCGUUCGACCGCUCUCGCUCUGUUCGACCGCGUCGUUCCCUCUUCCUCCAUUUGCUUUGCAGAGAUACAUGAAGCUUUUUCGACCACCUACGCCUUCUUGGAUUAACACCACCGUGUCGGUCCCUCAAUAUUGAUUGUGGUCCUUAUUUUCUCCUACGAUGAAAUUGGGUAAAUUCCAUUUAUUCGGAUGAAGAUCUGAAAGGAACUGCAGUUUCUGAUCAUGUGACCUAUCUACUAAAAUUAGCAGAGAGCACAUUGUAAUAGAGAUUGAUCUAAUGAUAUCUGAAAUCAACCUGUCAAAGCAAUGACUUACCUUUGAAGCUGACACUAUUAUGAACUUUCUUUACUUUCCCUAUUGAGUACGGAUAAUCACCUUCACAUCUUCCGAAAUUCGUAAGAGUUACUAUAAUAGUUUAUAGUUUCAGUAAUUAAAGGAUAAAUAAGACUAUGGCUUUGACUUUGUAUUAGUGCCAAAGAAAACUCAGACUUUUCGCUACUCUUGUUUCUACCUCUUAGAAAAACCACUUAUAGUGAAAAUAUUGCUAUAAGGUACACACCUCUCUUUUCUAUGUAUUUCUAACUGUGAUUUCGCAAUAUUAAAAUGCAAGUGCAUUAAGUUUGCUCCUUUGAGCUUGGAGAUGGAACAUCUGGCACAUUGUCUAUAUAAAGAAAUUGUUACAUAUCUCUAAGCCUAGACUGCAAUGAAUGGUACUGUAUAUCUAACUCACAUAUAUGAAACUUUGAGGUUUGUGACCAACAACUACAGCGGGUUUAAGUUUUUACAACACUGACAUGUUCAUUCUAUCAUGUUUAACCUUGCAUAUGUUUAACCUUGCAUUUAACCUUACCAUUCUAUUUAUAUAAGUUUUACUUUCAUAAUGGGAUUUAUGAUCCUCUGAAGCAAUAUUCUCGCAAGUGAGUUUCUUACAUUUGGUUAGCUUUGGAUACUUAAGACUAAACAGUCAUUUUUCUUUUUCAAGGGUGCAGAUUGAUGACAACUUGUCUGAUUUGGGCAUGAAGAACAAAAAGAGACCUUUGAAGUAUUUGCUAUGUUUUGGUAAUGAAGAUUUGGAUUCAAAAUUUAAAAAUCAAAUACACAGUUUCAAAAAUUUGGAAGUAUCGCGAGUUUGUUAUAUAUAUCAAAUUGUUUUUGUUGAUUGAAAAUUGAUACCGUGAAUUAGGGUUCUAUUCUGGUUGUUAUUGAUACUGUGCAAUUUUAUUAACUAAAUUUCGUGUUUGUUAGGAGCGUGCAUCUGAUAGAUUUGAUGCGAGGUAUCGUCGAUCUCUGUUUCAUGAUAACUUUGAUUCUGAAGAAAGUGGGAGAGGUACACCGAGGGCAAGUCGCAGUAGCAGAUUGCCUGUAGGUGUGAGGCUUGCGUGAGAAAGAAUACUUCAGAGGUUGAGAGGAGAGCAUGUAGAUAGAAACAGGUUUGAUUUAGAUUUUAAUUUAACUUGGUGUUCAAUUUUUUUUCUCUAUUCAUUUUCUUGAAAUGGGUAGGUUGAAGAAUCCACCUGUUAGUGUUAAGGCUGAGUUUGGUUCUGUUAUGGAUGUGUUGAAGGAUUUUCUGUUGAGUAAGACACCGAAGUAGUUGUAGUACAAGGUUGGUUAGUUUGAAGGUGUUGUCGGUUGUCAUUAUACUGUCACUUUCUAGUUUGAAGGUGCUGCUUUUAUUUCUUCCCUUUUUUAUUCCUACAAAAUAGCACUAGCUAGCUUCAAAUUUAGAGUAUCUACUAAUCAUAAUUAACAUUAAUAUAAGUAUUUAGUAAUUAAUUAAUUGAUACCAGUACUAAUAUAUACUCCCUUAUCUCUGUUAUUAUUAUUACUUUCUAAUGAUUCAACUUUUUUCUCUGGUUUCAGAAUUAUGAAAGUUUCUCUCUAGAAAAGGAAACGCUUGAGCUUUGCAAUCAAACCUUAACCUUGUUCAAGCUCAAAAUUCGGAUCUUCAGCAUAAGCUUUUCAAA